rnacentral:lncRNA from 1 species
AACCAAACAUUACCCAAAAAAAGUUUUGUUUUUAUUUUUUAGAAUAUAAAAUAAUUAUUGUUUAUCAAUAUUUUGUGCUUUAUUUAUUAUUUAACAAUGGUUAAAGUGUGUGUGGUGCGAAGUUGAUUGAAUAGCUGUUGGAAAAAUAAAGAACAAAGGCAAAGCCUGUAAAAUACAUAAUUAUAAUUCAGUAUUGUAUUAUUUGUAUUAUAUGUAAAAAUUAGAGUCAAUCAAAAGUGUAGUAAACAUUUUUCGUAAGAUUAUUGACAUACAUGUUACAAAGUAUAUUUUUACAAUCCUUUCUAUAAAGUUACAACCUGAAUAAAAUUUAUUUUUAAUGAUUUUAAAGUUUGACAGACAUGCACAAAUUGUUGGCAUUUUUUUAAACAAAUAAAAGUAGGAAAUAAAUAAAGUUGUAGGUACUUUCAAGAAAUAUAGUUAACUGUAAGUGCUGUAUUUUAAUAAUCUAUCAAAAAUUAAAAUCAUCAGGAUAAUAUUAGGUAUUGAUUUUCAAACAAGAAUUAGAUUACAGCGAUGGUCAAAAGCAUUUAGAUAUUGCUUUGAAAUCUACAGAUAAGGUAUGGCAGUUUCGUUUUAAAGAACAAGAUGUUAAAGUUUAUGAUAAAAUUGUCAUCAGAAAUACUGUCCACUUGCAGUAUUUACAUAGGAAAAUGUUGGAGGAUGAAGCUCUACCUACUGCCUCAGGUUAAUUUAAAUUCUGAGUUGCAACAACAGCAACAAGCAAGAAGGGCACCAUUAAAUGAAUAUUAUACACAUAAAGCAACAACAGAAUAAAAAACCAAAAUAUGAACACCAGCAACUAAAACAGGAACCAUUAAAUGAAUAUUACACACAGCAAUAACAGCAUCAAAUAAUGGAAAUAAUGGACCCUACUGCUCAAAUCAAAAACAAAAUUUCAGCAUUACCACUUUAUUGGUUAUAUCAAUAAAAGAAAUUAUUGAGUUUAUGAGUCUAGAUCCUACAAGCAAGCAGAUCUAUCACAUAAUUUUAAAUGAAGAUUUAUCUAUUAUAGUAAUUUAUUCUAAUAACAAAAAAAAACUUUGGAUCAAAAAAUAUUUUCUUCUGAUGAGGUUUAUGAAUAUUAAAGUCUGUUGAAGUUUGGCCAUUAUGUGUUGGUAUACAAUUUAUUUAUGAUGUUACAGUAG